rnacentral:rRNA from 1 species
UACGUAGGGCGCAAGCGUUGUCCGGAAUUAUUGGGCGUAAAGAGCUCGUAGGCGGCCAGUUGCGUCUGCUGUGAAAUCCCGGGGCUCAACCCCGGGCUUGCAGUGGAUACGGGCUGGCUGGAGGCAGGCAGGGGAGAACGGAAUUCCCGGUGUAGCGGUGAAAUGCGCAGAUAUCAGGAGGAACACCGGUGGCGAAGGCGGGUCUCUGGGCCGAUACUGACACUGAGAAGCGAAAGCGUGGGGAGCGAACAGG